ensembl:snoRNA
ACCUGCCUCUAAGGUGUCUUUGGUUUCCUGUCUUUGAACAUGAAAGAUUUGGAUUUGGAGAAGUCUGGAGCCAACUUGCUCUCUUAUGCUCAGAAUCAAUUAUCCCACAUAG